rnacentral:lncRNA from 1 species
GGCUCCAGGCAGAGCUAGCCUCACGUCCUCCAUGGAGGACGUGAGCAUUGAUCUGUCCAGUGGGUUCUGUGGUGAACACACCAAGAUGCUGUGGUCCCCAGCAUGGUGUGCAUCCUCCCACUCAUGGUGACCACAGGACUUCUUGGUUCUAUUUUUAACAAGGAGGCUCCUCAUCUGACUUAGGUGUUAGUGGUAUGAGCAGUGCUUCCAAAUCCAAGUUCAAAUCAGGACCCAGAUCCCUCCCUGAGCCGUGCUGCCUUUUCUCUCUAAAUAUCUGUGUGACAGACCUUGGUCAGUUUCAGAUUUUCUGCCUUCUGGGAUUGCAUGUGUAUGUGGCAAAAAUACAGAGAUGGUCCAUGCUACUGAGAAAUGGCAGCACAAUUCACAACAACCAAGUUAUGAAACCACCCUAGGUAUCUCUCAACAGAUAAAUGGACACAGAAAAUGUGGUAUUUAUACACAAUGGAGUUUUACUCGGCCACAAAGAAGGAAAUUACGUCAUUUGAGGAAAAAUGGAUAAAACUGGAGAGCAUCUUGUUGAGUUAAACAAACCAGUCUCAGAAAGUCCAGGGUCAGGUGUUUUCUUUCCGAUGUGGAAGUUAGAAAAACAUUUAAAAAGAGACCUCACAAAAAUUGAAAGGAGACCAUUAGAGUUGAGGAAGGGAGUCAGGGGGAAAGAGAAAAGAAGGGAAAGAAGAGGUACUGGGGAAUGAAACUGGUCAAGUUAUGUCAUGUGCAUGUACAAAUACAUCACAACAAAACCCACUAUUGUAUAUGAUCAUAAUGCAUGAAUGAAAAUUUUUAAAAAUCCUUAAAGAGUGUUCUACAAGGAUGAUGACUAGAUUUAAUGAAGUGCAAAUUUGGUGCACUCACUAAUUUAUUCCAAUGAUGUUACAUAUCUUUAAGAAUACUGAUAGUGCC